rnacentral:rRNA from 1 species
GGUUGCAAUCAUCUUGUCGUUAAUUCUAACAAUAUGGAGGUGAUUGAAGUAAUGGAAAAUGGAGGACAUUCAGCGGGAGCGGCGGCGGCAGUGUUCGAUAAUUGCUAUUUCAUAGCUUAUGAUUUUCCGCUUGUUAGAUUUGAACAUUGUCAUAGGAAACCAAAUAAGGUGGCUCAUGAAAUUGCUAGGCUGGCGAAAUUUUCAGUCACUACAGACUGGUUUGAGGAGCCUACGAGGGACAUUGUACAUUUACUUAUUGGCGAUGUAACAUUGUAA